CGGCGCACAUAAGACAUGCAAGUCGAACGGAAGCCGUUAUAAUUGAUUCAGAUAUGAACAGAGAACUUGUUCGAAGGAAUUUGACGUUGAUUUUAUAACAAUGACUUUAGUGGCGGACUGGUGAGUAACGCGUGAGCAACCUGCCUAUUAGAGGGGAAUAACAGUGAGAAAUCAUUGCUAAUACCGCAUAUGCCAUAGUAGUCACAUGAUUACAGUGGGAAAGGAGUAAUCCGCUAAUAGAUGGGCUCGCGUCUGAUUAGAUAGUUGGUGGGGUAACGGCCUACCAAGUCAACGAUCAGUAGCCGGACUGAGAGGUUGAACGGCCACAUUGGGACUGAGAUACGGCCCAGACUCCUACGGGAGGCAGCAGUCGGGAAUAUUGCGCAAUGGAGGAAGACUCUGACGCAGUGACGCCGCGUAUAGGAUGAAGGUCUUCGGGUUGUAAACUAUUGUCGUUAGGGAAGAAAAAGGACAGUACCUAAGGAGGAAGCUCCGGCUAACUACGUGCCAGCCGCCGC
rnacentral:rRNA from 1 species